AUCUUUACUCGCCUACAUCUAGUACGUAAAUUGAAAACAAAAACUUGGCCAGUUGUCAGGGUAAACAGAACUGCAAUUUUGCUAAAAGGCGCAUUUAGGUAAUCCGUCCUGAAGAUAUUGAAAUACAGAUAUUAAUCGACCAACGCGAAAUCAAAAUGAAUUGUAAAAUAAUUUUGACAAUCUUCUUAAUCUCCCUGACGUUGCCAGCAAUAUGCGCACAGGACGAUGCAUCCGCGAAAGCAGCAGAGGAGCCUGCGACUGUCUCUGAAAAAGGGCAAGACGGUGCCGCCGCCUCCACCGAAGAUGCUGCUAAAUCAAAUAUUACUACUACCACCCCUCCAGCGCGGUUUUACGAUGAAAGCUCUUGCACACGAGCCGCUUUGCAGUGCAUUCUGUUGCCUUUCCUGUUCUUAAUUACAAAGGCAAUUAUUUAAAUUUGAAGUAUUUGUAAUAGAUGUUGCUUAAAACCAAAUUAUUGGCAGUGUAGUCUAAUAAAGAUUCCUCUAUUCCCGUA